rnacentral:lncRNA from 1 species
UUUUUGCAAACAAGACAGAUAAAAGAAAGUUAAAGAACAUGCUUUGAAUGAAAAGAAAUUUUUAUUGAUUUAAAAACUGGCCUAUAAAUAGCAUUUACAUCAUGAGGCAAUUCCUAGGAAGAGGUGAUUGCAACAACAAAAAAGCAAAAAAAAAAAAGCAAAAAAAAAGAUUAUUACAAGAAUAACAAUGUGAAAAUGUAUUUCCUUCAGGUUCUGAUUCAACUAUAACUCUUAUGACCUUGACAUUCUCAUCCCUUUGCUUUCUGAAGA